GGAGAUGUGGUCUUGUGGAUAAGGCAACUGACUCAAAGUAGAAUCUUAGGGAAGAGAGGCCGAAGGCGCCUACGGCGACUCGGAAUGCUCUUUUUAAGAUUUGUUGUGAGCUCAUUUAACGGUAGUUCGAAUCUAUCCAUCUCUG
rnacentral:tRNA from 1 species